GAUAGCCACUGGAAACGGUGAUUAAUACCGGAUACUCCUUCUUGUUAUAAGACAAGUCGGGAAAGUUUUUCGCUAAGGGAUCAGUCUAUGUUCCAUCAGCUUGUUGGUGAGGUAAUGGCUCACCAAGGCUAUGACGGAUAUCUGGUUUGAGAGGAUGAUCAGACACACUGGAACUGAGACACGGUCCAGACUCCUACGGGAGGCAGCAGUGAGGAAUAUUGCACAAUGGAGGAAACUCUGAUGCAGCAACGCCGCGUGGAGGAUGACGCAUUUCGGUGUGUAAACUCCUUUUAUUAGGGAAGAUAAUGACGGUACCUAAUGAAUAAGCACCGGCUAACCCCGUGCCAGCAGCCGCGGUAAUACGGAGGGUGCAAGCGUUACUCGGAAUCACUGGGCGUAAAGGGUGCGUAGGCUGGCUUUUAAGUCAGAUGUGAAAUCCAAUGGCUCAACCAUUGAACUGCAUUUGAAACUGAAAGCCUAGAGUUCAGAAGGGGCAGAUGGAAUUAGUGGUGUAGGGGUAAAAUCCGUAGAUAUCACUAGGAAUACCGAUUGCGAAGGCGAUCUACUGGAACAUUAUGA
rnacentral:rRNA from 1 species